GUGGGGAAUAUUGCACAAUGGGCGAAAGCCUGAUGCAGCGACGCCGCGUGAAGGAUGAAGUAUUUCGGUAUGUAAACUUCUAUCAGCAGGGAAGAAAAUGACGGUACCUGACUAAGAAGCCCCGGCUAACUACGUGCCAGCAGCCGCGGUAAUACGUAGGGGGCAAGCGUUAUCCGGAUUUACUGGGUGUAAAGGGAGCGUAGAUGGCAUGGCAAGUCCGAAGUGAAAGCCCGGGGCUUAACCCCGGGACUGCUUUGGAAACUGUUAAGCUAGAGUGCAGGAGAGGUAAGCGGAAUUCCUAGUGUAGCGGUGAAAUGCGUAGAUAUUAGGAGGAACACCGGUGGCGAAGGCGGCUUACUGGACUGUAACUGACAUUGAGGCUCGAAAGCGUGGGGAGCAAACAGGAUUAGAUACCCUUGUAGUCC
rnacentral:rRNA from 1 species